GUGCUCACUUGGCAACAUAGACACUAAAAUUGGAAUAAUACAGAGAUUAGUGUGGCCCCUGCACAGGGAUGACAUGCAAAUUCACGAAGCAUUUUUAAAUAUG